rnacentral:rRNA from 1 species
UCAAGUGAAGAAGCGCAUACGGUGGAUGCCUUGGCAGUCAGAGGCGAUGAAAGACGUGGUAGCCUGCGAAAAGCUUCGGGGAGUCGGCAAACAGACUUUGAUCCGGAGAUCUCUGAAUGGGGGAACCCACCUAGGAUAACCUAGGUAUCUUGUACUGAAUCCAUAGGUGCAAGAGGCGAACCAGGGGAACUGAAACAUCUAAGUACCCUGAGGAAAAGAAAUCAACCGAGAUUCCCUUAGUAGUGGCGAGCGAACGGGGAUUAGCCCUUAAGCUUCAUUGAUUUUAGCGGAACGCUCUGGAAAGUGCGGCCAUAGUGGGUGAUAGCCCCGUACGCGAAAGGAUCUUUGAAGUGAAAUCGAGUAGGACGGAGCACGAGAAACUUUGUCUGAACAUGGGGGGACCAUCCUCCAAGGCUAAAUACUACUGACUGACCGAUAGUGAACCAGUACCGUGAGGGAAAGGCGAAAAGAACCCCGGAGAGGGGAGUGAAAUAGAACCUGAAACCGUAUGCGUACAAGCAGUGGGAGCCUACUUGUUAGGUGACUGCGUACCUUUUGUAUAAUGGGUCAGCGACUUAUAUUCAGUGGCAAGCUUAACCGUAUAGGGUAGGCGUAGCGAAAGCGAGUCUUAAUAGGGCGUUUAGUCGCUGGGUAUAGACCCGAAACCGGGCGAUCUAUCCAUGAGCAGGUUGAAGGUUAGGUAACACUGACUGGAGGACCGAACCCACUCCCGUUGAAAAGGUAGGGGAUGACUUGUGGAUCGGAGUGAAAGGCUAAUCAAGCUCGGAGAUAGCUGGUUCUCCUCGAAAGCUAUUUAGGUAGCGCCUCAUGUAUCACUCUGGGGGGUAGAGCACUGUUUCGGCUAGGGGGUCAUCCCGACUUACCAAACCGAUGCAAACUCCGAAUACCCAGAAGUGCCGAGCAUGGGAGACACACGGCGGGUGCUAACGUCCGUCGUGAAAAGGGAAACAACCCAGACCGCCAGCUAAGGUCCCAAAGUUGUGGUUAAGUGGUAAACGAUGUGGGAAGGCUUAGACAGCUAGGAGGUUGGCUUAGAAGCAGCCAUCCUUUAAAGAAAGCGUAAUAGCUCACUAGUCGAGUCGGCCUGCGCGGAAGAUGUAACGGGGCUCAAACCACACACCGAAGCUGCGGGCGUCACGUAAGUGACGCGGUAGAGGAGCGUUCUGUAAGCCUGUGAAGGUGAGUUGAGAAGCUUGCUGGAGGUAUCAGAAGUGCGAAUGCUGACAUGAGUAACGACAAUGGGUGUGAAAAACACCCACGCCGAAAGACCAAGGGUUCCUGCGCAACGUUAAUCGACGCAGGGUUAGUCGGUUCCUAAGGCGAGGCUGAAAAGCGUAGUCGAUGGGAAACAGGUUAAUAUUCCUGUACUUCUGGUUACUGCGAUGGAGGGACGGAGAAGGCUAGGCCAGCUUGGCGUUGGUUGUCCAAGUUUAAGGUGGUAGGCUGAAAUCUUAGGUAAAUCCGGGGUUUCAAGGCCGAGAGCUGAUGACGAGUCGUCUUUUAGAUGACGAAGUGGUUGAUGCCAUGCUUCCAAGAAAAGCUUCUAAGCUUCAGGUAACCAGGAACCGUACCCCAAACCGACACAGGUGGUCGGGUAGAGAAUACCAAGGCGCUUGAGAGAACUCGGGUGAAGGAACUAGGCAAAAUGGCACCGUAACUUCGGGAGAAGGUGCGCCGGCUAGGGUGAAGGAUUUACUCCGUAAGCUCUGGCUGGUCGAAGAUACCAGGCCGCUGCGACUGUUUAUUAAAAACACAGCACUCUGCAAACACGAAAGUGGACGUAUAGGGUGUGACGCCUGCCCGGUGCCGGAAGGUUAAUUGAUGGGGUUAGCGCAAGCGAAGCUCUUGAUCGAAGCCCCGGUAAACGGCGGCCGUAACUAUAACGGUCCUAAGGUAGCGAAAUUCCUUGUCGGGUAAGUUCCGACCUGCACGAAUGGCGUAACGAUGGCGGCGCUGUCUCCACCCGAGACUCAGUGAAAUUGAAAUCGCUGUGAAGAUGCAGUGUAUCCGCGGCUAGACGGAAAGACCCCGUGAACCUUUACUGUAGCUUUGCACUGGACUUUGAGCCUGCUUGUGUAGGAUAGGUGGGAGGCUUUGAAGCGUGGACGCCAGUUCGCGUGGAGCCAUCCUUGAAAUACCACCCUGGCAUGCUUGAGGUUCUAACUCUGGUCCGUAAUCCGGAUCGAGGACAGUGUAUGGUGGGCAGUUUGACUGGGGCGGUCUCCUCCUAAAGAGUAACGGAGGAGUACGAAGGUGCGCUCAGACCGGUCGGAAAUCGGUCGCAGAGUAUAAAGGCAAAAGCGCGCUUGACUGCGAGACAGACACGUCGAGCAGGUACGAAAGUAGGUCUUAGUGAUCCGGUGGUUCUGUAUGGAAGGGCCAUCGCUCAACGGAUAAAAGGUACUCCGGGGAUAACAGGCUGAUACCGCCCAAGAGUUCAUAUCGACGGCGGUGUUUGGCACCUCGAUGUCGGCUCAUCACAUCCUGGGGCUGAAGCCGGUCCCAAGGGUAUGGCUGUUCGCCAUUUAAAGUGGUACGCGAGCUGGGUUUAGAACGUCGUGAGACAGUUCGGUCCCUAUCUGCCGUGGACGUUUGAGAUUUGAGAGGGGCUGCUCCUAGUACGAGAGGACCGGAGUGGACGAACCUCUGGUGUUCCGGUUGUCACGCCAGUGGCAUUGCCGGGUAGCUAUGUUCGGAAAAGAUAACCGCUGAAAGCAUCUAAGCGGGAAACUUGCCUCAAGAUGAGAUCUCACUGGGAACUUGAUUCCCCUGAAGGGCCGUCGAAGACUACGACGUUGAUAGGCUGGGUGUGUAAGCGUUGUGAGGCGUUGAGCUAACCAGUACUAAUUGCCCGUGAGGCUUGACCAU